GUUGAAUCACGGCUCAAACCUCUGAUUAACCACCUGAGGCAAGCGCUGAGUCAGCCACAGGGGCACAGGUGAAUGCAAUUUCACCUGAGUGACUGGAAGGGGUGGAGCCAGGCUCCACUCCUCCUAGACCCCAUUUAAGGGCUGACUCCUAAGGAGGAAGGGCCUCUAUCUGGAGAUUGCUUCUUUGGGAGCUAUUCUGUGAGCCCAGGAAAUGGGAUUCAUCCACACUUCAACCAAUCUGUUCUGCCUUCUGCUGAUCCCUGCAUUUUGCUCCAAUGCUCUAAAUGAAAGCCUUUCCCACAGUGACCAAAAUGACCACUUUGUAUACCACAUGAGUGAUGCUUUUAAUUUCUCUCUCUGCUACUUCAGACACGUAUUAGAAAAUAAAUGGUUAUAACCGUACACUUCUGGAAACAUAAAUAAGUGUGCCACUUCCACUGAGCACAUUCACAGCUUGUGCCAGAGAUGGAAAGACUGAUGUUGCCACAGUAGAAACAGAGGAAACUUACGGAGUGUUUUUUUUUAUCACCAGAAGGCAGAAAACUGCAACUACAUAACAGCUCUGAUUUUAAAAUUCACAUCAUUUUAUUAUGAGGUGCAGCUGUCCAUGUGCUGGUAGUGUAAACAGCUCUGCAGACAUCAAGGUCAAUGAAGAAGUAGGAAGAAUGGAGAUGAUCCUGGCACUGGAGCAGUUUCUUCUGCAGCAGGUGGAUGACACGACAUGGGAGAGGACACAACAUGGAGGACUGCAGCUCGUGGAGAAGAAUUACUUUGAAUCAAGGGAUGAAUGUUUUUCCAGGAUUUCACAUUGUCAUCUCCUGGAUCUCAAUUUGUGAGAAGUUACACAUCUCUGCCGUAAGAAAUGUCUUCACAUACAGGUACAACAGGAGAAAAACAGUAGACCCUAACCAGACAAACAUCACUUAUUAGACUUUUCCAUUUUUUGUCAAAUGAAUGGUUGAGAACUAUAAUUUUUCUUCCUCUGAUCUAAAUAACAUUAGUAUCUUGAAUAAUCUGUGGCACAUCCUAAAUGUGUGGAACAGUGCAGUAGAUUUGUGUGUGUGUGUGUGUGUAUUAGAGGAGAAAUAAGAACUAGCUACUAUAAUUGUGAAUUGAGAGGAAACAUGAAUUUGUGAUGCAGUUCAUGAACAAUAGCUUCUUCCAAGCUAUCAUUCAAUAUUUGUUGUAUAUGAUUCAUUCUUGUAAUAGAAAGCUUAAUUUUCCCAAUGAAACCUGACAGUUUUCUUGGACUAGAUUCAAAGGUGAUAUAUCUGCUGAGAAUAUAGAUUGAUGUUUCUCUGGCAGUGUUACAUAUGACAUUUUCUGUUGAUCUGAGAAGAGAAGAUAGAAACAAGACCACAACUUUAUGAAAAGCCCAUAGAUUUUUUUGUAGAAAAUGAAAGAAAUUUCAGCCUGACCUUUGGUGGGAAAAGAGACACCACUUCAGAGCAUCUAGCCAAGUAAACAAACUGACACUUCUGCAAUAAUGUAUACACUUUGCAGUUUGAACAGUUGCUUGAUGUUUAAAUUGAUCAUAUGACAACAAAAUGUCAGGAUACUGUUCAUAGGCAUACAGAUGAUUCUGUACAAAAAAAUUAUUAGGAAUAUUUAAGAAUGCAAAGAAAUUCAGGAAGGGUAGAUGCCUAUUGUGCUUGCAUAUCAGAAAGCUGUUGAGCUGUUGCAUAUGUAGAUACCUGACGUGUAUAAAGCAAUAGGAUGUGAGUGGUUCAAAGAAAAAAAGCAAGUAGAAUCAUGUUAUCAUUAAAGAAAAGAAUUUUCAUUCUGCUGUUUAAUAAUUCUAAUUAUGUGCUUUAUUUCCCACUGAAAAUAAAAAGCAAGUACAGAAUGCAAUGCAAGAAAUAUAGGAUUCAGAUGAAGAAAAAAGUUCAGUAACAUUUUUGCAGGUACAUUUCUGUGCUCAGUUUUGUUUGCCAUCAAUCUACCAUUUCCAUUACUGCUUAUCUAACUAAACCUAUGUCAAAACAAAUUAUAGAUUCUGUUUGAACGAGGUCUUGUAAAUUCCUUUCCGCACAAACAGUAGAAACUAUUGAAAUCUAUAAUAUGUGUGUAUAGAAAUUAAUGACUAGAAACAGUAUUUAUUUAAGUUUAAAAAAAAAAAAAAAAAGUUUGAUGUGGUUACAUUCCUACAACUGAACCAGUCCUGCACAUUCUCCUGUAUAUGCAAUGUACCUCAAAAAAGCAGUGCAUGUCUUCCACUAAAAUGAGAGCUAAAAUGGACAUUAUCACUCAUCAAGAAACAAAGAAUAAACUGAGAACAAGACAAGAUUAUAUUAUGAUCAGUUUGCCUGUGCAUAACCAGUAAGAUCAAAAAGGAACUUACCUCAAUGAAUACAUUAGCUGCUAAGUCUUUUCCUAGAUAGUUUUGUAUGGAAACUCACAUUGGCAUACAGCCAUAUUUCUCUUUUGAAGUAAGGCAUUCAGCAUGAAAGCAACAUAUUAAAUCAAACACUGACAAGUAGGAGAAAUUUUAGAUGAGCAAUAAAAAUCAUUAAAG
ensembl:lncRNA